CAAAUACUAUCCAAACAAUAUACCCUAACUUAAAUCAUAUACCCUAAUCCCAAACCGUAAACCCUAAACCCAAAUCCUAUGUCCUAAACCCAAACCAUAUAUCCUAAACCCAAAUCCUAGACCCUAAACUCAAACCGUAAACUCUAAACUUAAACUCUAUAGCGUCUAGGUUUAGGGUUUUUAAUUUGGGUUUAGGAUCUAAGAUUUGAGUUUAGGGUAUACGGUUUGAGUUCAAGGUUUACGGUUUGGUUUAUGGUCUAAGAUUUAGGUUUAGGGUAUACGGUUUAGAUUUAUGGUAUAGGAUUUGAGUUUAUGGUAUAGGAUUUUAGUUUAUGGUCUAAAGUUUGAGUUUAGGAUUUAGGGUCUAGGAUUUAGGGUCUAAAUUUUAGCUGGCAGCGUGAGUUUUAAAUUUUUAUUUAAAGGUUCAAC
rnacentral:lncRNA from 1 species